GAUGAACGCUGGCGGCGUGCCUAAUACAUGCAAGUCGAGCGAACGGACGAGAAGCUUGCUUCUCUGAUGUUAGCGGCGGACGGGUGAGUAACACGUGGAUAACCUACCUAUAAGACUGGGAUCACUUCGGGCAACCGGAGCUAACACCGGAUAAUAUUUUGAACCGCAUGGUUCAAAAGUGAAAGACGGUCUUGCUGUCCCUUAUAGAUGGAUCCGCGCUGCAUUAGCUAGUUGGUAAGGUAACGGCUUACCAAGGCAACGAUGCAUAGCCGACCUGAGAGGGUGAUCGGCCACACUGGAACGGAGACACGGUCCAGACUCCUACGGGAGGCAGCAGUAGGGAAUCUUCCGCAAUGGGCGAAAGCCUGACGGAGCAACGCCGCGUGAGUGAUGAAGGUCUUCGGAUCGUAAAACUCUGUUAUUAGGGAAGAACAUAUGUGUAAGUAACUGUGCACAUCUUGACGGUACCUAAUCAGAAAGCCACGGCUAACUACGUG
rnacentral:rRNA from 1 species